rnacentral:lncRNA from 1 species
GGUCAAAUAUUAGAUGAUCGGAUCCAUCCAGCUUGAUUCGACUGUCAGUUGCAAUAUUUUCUCGACUUUAUCGAUGUUGGGCUGUUUGAGACAUUCCAUGAACGUUUGGCCUAGUGAAUUAUAAGUUGUUGUCAUCAGUCAGGAAAAUAUGUCAGCUCGAGCAUUCUCAGUUCUGGGUAUGUGAAAGAUCUCGAAAUAUUUUAAGUUCGUCACGAGAUCUCUCACCUUCUGAAGGUACUUCAC